CGAGGACUGGAGUUGAGAACCACUGUUAUAAAUGGAGUAAUGUGCUGAAAGAAGCAUUAAAGAUGCAUGAGAGGCCUACAAAUCCACUCUAAGAAUUUUCUUUUUCCUCGAGGACUGAAAUCUUUGAGUUUGUGAGCUGUAAAAGCUGCUUGAGGUUUAUCUCGUGCAACAGAGGAAGUGGUGCGGGAAGAAGAGCGCGUCGGCCCUAACGUUUUGUGUGUACAACAGGAUAUCCGAUGCUGGGAGCGUUAGCCUCGUGUCGAGAGCACAUCUGCUGUCUCGCCAUAUCGCUCCACGUUUUGGAGUGCAGACGUCUCAUUUCAGCUCGUCGCAAGUAGUAAUACGGCUCAAAGAAGUCAAACGUUGCCUAUCUGGAACUCGUCCCUUAUCAUACUUGUAGAUGUUCUGUGUACUUUUAAGUGCUGGAUUUACUCAUAGGCGAAAACAUUAAUUGCCAGUUGACUGACAGCUGGAAAACACAGGGAUUUCAUGCUGGGGCAACGGUAAUUGUUUUCAGAUUUGUUUUAGAGUGUCUUUUUGAUCAAAUUUGUGAGAGAGCGAGUGAGAGAGAAGGAAAGAAGGAGAGGGAGCCAGACACUACUCAUGGGGCCCAUUAGGAAAUUGCCAGUAAGCAAAGUUGCAAAUAAGCUGUCACACAGUACAAAUGAGAUUACCUUUCCAAUGUGCCCUGGAACCUGCACACCGGGGGAUGCAGAACCAGUCACGGCAAAACAAGGCACAAUCGUCUGAUUUAUCUCAGCGCUUGAUCUUCUGGUGGUGUUCUUUCUACCUCUGUUUUUCAUGCAUCGUGUGCAAAACAGUUUACAAAGCGCUUGCAGCACAAGUUAAUCAGUUGUAGACAACCUCUGAAGCGAGUCGACAGUGUUUCAAGUCAGGGAUUUUACUUAUAGUCAUCAGCGCUGAAUUUAUACACAUACAGAGAGACUUAGUUGCAUAUUUCGGUUUAAACCGUUUAUUUACUGCUCCUGCUUUUCACCUCUUGAUCAGUUUGUUGAUGAAUUGAUGAUUUAUUUUCAUCUGUUGAGGAGAUCUGCAAAUGUCUCUUGCACUGUGUCAAAGGGUUUGAUUUUAUUUAUUUAUUUAAAUGAACAGAUUUAAUCUGCUUUUUUUGGAAAGGUCACAAUAAAACCUUUUUACUGUAUCUUUGUUGUUUACUUUUUUGCUAUUUUUAAAUGCCUUUUAUCU